UACGUAGGGGCAAGCGUUGUCCGGAUUUAUUGGGCGUAAAGAGCGUGUAGGCGGCCAGGUAGGUCAGCUGUGAAAACUCGAGGCUCAACCUCGAGACGUCGGUUGAAACCAUCUGGCUAGAGUCCGGAAGAGGAGAGUGGAAUUCCUGGUGUAGCGGUGAAAUGCGCAGAUAUCAGGAAGAACACCCGUGGCGAAGGCGGCUCUCUGGGGACGGUACUGACGCUGAGACGCGAAAAGCGUGGGGGAGCGAAACAGGG
rnacentral:rRNA from 1 species